rnacentral:rRNA from 1 species
AUUGAACGCUGGCGGCAGGCUAACACAUGCAAGUCGAACGGUAACGGGAAGGAAGCUUGCUUUCUUUGCUGACGAGUGGCGGACGGGUGAGUAAUGCUUGGGAAUAUGUUUUAUGGAGGGGGAUAACUACGGGAAACUGUAGCUAAUACCGCGUAAUAUCGAGAGAUUAAAGUGUGGGACCGCAAGGCCACAUGCCAUGAAGUGAGCCCAAGUGGGAUUAGGUAGUUGGUGGGGUAAAGGCUUACCAAGCCGUCGAUCUCUAGCUGGUCUGAGAGGAUGACCAGCCACACUGGGACUGAGACACGGUCCAGACUCCUACGGGAGGCAGCAGUGGGGAAUAUUGCACAAUGGGCGCAAGCCUGAUGCAGCCAUGCCGCGUGAAUGAAGAAGGCCUUCGGGUUGUAAAGUUCUUUCGGUGGUGAGGAAGGUUGGCGUGUUAAUACCACGUUGAUUUGACGUUAGCCACAGAAGAAGCACCGGCUAACUCCGUGCCAGCAGCCGCGGUAAUACGGAGGGUGCGAGCGUUAAUCGGAAUAACUGGGCGUAAAGGGCACGCAGGCGGAUACUUAAGUGAGGUGUGAAAGCCCUGGGCUUAACCUAGGAAUUGCAUUUCAUACUGGGUAUCUAGAGUAUUUUAGAGAGGGGUAGAAUUCCACGUGUAGCGGUGAAAUGCGUAGAGAUGUGGAGGAAUACCGAAGGCGAAGGCAGCCCCUUGGGGGAAUACUGACGCUCAUGUGCGAAAGCGUGGGGAGCAAACAGG